UUGGACCUCAGAUCAGGCGAGGCGACCCGCUGAACUUAAGCAUAUCAAUAAGCGGAGGAAAAGCAACUARCCAGGAUUCCCCCAGUAACGGCGAGCGAAGCGGGAACAGCUCGAGCAGGCAAUCUCUGGUGUCGAUCGCCAGCGAAUUGUGGCCGGUAGAGGCGGAUGCACCUGAAGCGACUCCGUCGAAGUUGACCUGGAAGGGCACGUCGRRGAGGGUGAUAGCCCCGUGCGUGGCGGAGUCGCCGACGGCCGCUACCGUCUUCGGAGAGUCGGGUUGUUUGGGAGUGCAGCCCAAAGUGGGUGGUAAACUCCAUCUAAAGCCAAAUAGCGGCACGAGACCGAUAGCGAACAAGUACCGUGAGGGAAAGGUGAAAAGCACUUUGGAAAGAGAGUUAAAGAGGCCGCGAAACCGUUGGGAGGGAAACGCAUGCAGCCGAACUGGCCCGCGUCGAGUUCAGGGGGCCGCGUGGAGUCCGGCGUGCGGUCGACACCGUCCAGGGUCGUCCGUGCGUCGCGGCUUCGCGCUCCCCCGCACUCUCGGCGCUCGGGGCCGGCCAGGUGCGGCGGGUGACGGGCGAGGAGCGCGUGUCGGGAAGGUGGCGCAGCCGUCUCCCUCGGGAGACGGAGGCGAGCUUACAGCCGGCCGCGCGGAGCGUCCGACGCCCGCCGAGGAGAGCGGUGGUACUUGCACCCCUGCAGCGCAGGCCGCCUCGGCGGCCGGGGCGCUCGCGUCCGUUCGUAGUCCGCGUCGCGGUCACUGCACGCAGUGCCCGACGUCGGGCGGCGUUCGGGCGAGAGGUCGUCCCACGCCUUGCGCUCGGGUCGCCUGGCCAGCCGUCGGCUGCAUUCGA
rnacentral:rRNA from 1 species